AACGUAGGGGACAAGCGUUAUCCGGAUUUACUGGGCGUAAAGCGCCCGUAGGCGGCCUGACAAGUUGGACGUGAAAGCUCCUGGCUUAACUGGGAGAGGCCGUUCAAAACUGUCAAGCUAGAGUCUGGAAGAGGAGAGCGGAAUUCCCGGUGUAGUGGUGGAAAGCGUAGAUAUCGGGAGGAACACCAGUGGCGAAGGCGGUUACCUGGAGCUUUGCUGACGCUGAUGCGCGAAAGCGUGGGGAGCGAUCCGG
rnacentral:rRNA from 1 species